UCAGAACGAACGCUGGCGGCAGGCUUAACACAUGCAAGUCGAGCGCCCCGCAAGGGGAGCGGCAGACGGGUGAGUAACGCGUGGGAAUCUACCCUUUUNUACGGAAUAACGCAGGGAAACUUGUGCUAAUACCGUAUACGCCCUUCGGGGGAAAGAUUUAUCGGGAAAGGAUGAGCCCGCGUUGGAUUAGCUAGUUGGUGGGGUAAAGGCCUACCAAGGCGACGAUCCAUAGCUGGUCUGAGAGGAUGAUCAGCCACAUUGGGACUGAGACACGGCCCAAACUCCUACGGGAGGCAGCAGUGGGGAAUAUUGGACAAUGGGCGCAAGCCUGAUCCAGCCAUGCCGCGUGAGUGAUGAAGGCCCUAGGGUUGUAAAGCUCUUUCACCGGUGAAGAUAAUGACGUAAC
rnacentral:rRNA from 1 species